AAUGAACGUUGGCGGCGUGGAUUAGGCAUGCAAGUCGAGCGGUAGGAGUUCACUCACCCGGCGCAUAUUGCCCGGCCAUCUUGGCUGGGAUUCGUAUGUGCUCCAGGUGAGUGGACUCUGAGAGCGGCGAAAGGGAGAGUAACGCGUAGUUACGUGCCCCGAGGUCCGGAAUAGCCACGGGAAACUGUGGGUAAUGCCGGAUGAUCUCUACGGAGCAAAGGUGUGAUUCCGCCUUGGGAGCGGACUGCGUUGUACUAGCUAGUUGGUAGGGUAAUGGCCUACCAAGGCAAUGAUGCAUAGCGGGCGUGAGAGCGUGGCCCGUCUCACUGGGACUGAGACACUGCCCAGACACCUACGGGUGGCUGCAGUCGAGAAUCUUCGGCAAUGCGCGCAAGCGUGACCGAGCGACGCCGCGUGCGGGAUGAAGGCCUUCGGGUUGUAAACCGCUGUCGUAGGGGAGGAAGGCUCCGUGAAGAACGGGGUUUGACCUAUCCUAGGAGGAAGGACGGGCUAAGUUCGUGCCAGCAGC
rnacentral:rRNA from 1 species